UACGUAGGUGGCAAGCGUUAUCCGGAAUUAUUGGGCGUAAAGCGCGCGUAGGCGGUUUCUUAAGUCUGAUGUGAAAGCCCGCGGCUCAACCGUGGAGGGUCAUUGGAAACUGGGAAACUUGAGUGCAGAAGAGGAAAGUGGAAUUCCAUGUGUAGCGGUGAAAUGCGCAGAGAUAUGGAGGAACACCAGUGGCGAAGGCGACUUUCUGGUCUGUAACUGACGCUGAUGUGCGAAAGCGUGGGGAUCAAACAGG
rnacentral:rRNA from 1 species